GAUGAACGCUGGCGGCGUGCCUAAUACAUGCAAGUCGAGCGAACAGACGAGGAGCUUGCUCCUCUGACGUUAGCGGCGGACGGGUGAGUAACACGUGGAUAACCUACCUAUAAGACUGGGAUAACUUCGGGAAACCGGAGCUAAUACCGGAUAAUAUAUUGAACCGCAUGGUUCAAUAGUGAAAGACGGUUUUGCUGUCACUUAUAGAUGGAUCCGCGCCGCAUUAGCUAGUUGGUAAGGUAACGGCUUACCAAGGCAACGAUGCGUAGCCGACCUGAGAGGGUGAUCGGCCACACUGGAACUGAGACACGGUCCAGACUCCUACGGGAGGCAGCAGUAGGGAAUCUUCCGCAAUGGGCGAAAGCCUGACGGAGCAACGCUGCGUGAGUGAUGAAGGUCUUCGGAUCGUAAAACUCUGUUAUUAGGGGAGAACAAAUGUGUAAGUAACUAUGCACGUCUUGACGGUACCUAAUCAGAAAGCCACGGCUAACUACGUG
rnacentral:rRNA from 1 species